rnacentral:lncRNA from 1 species
CUGGGUGUAGUCAAGUACUUGACUUGUCGGUGCGUGUGUCAAGAUGGGAUUGACCACUUCAGUUUAGGAGCUGUGUACAAUCAUAUUUCAAUUUAGCAAAACCUUGGCCAGGGUAGUCUUUGUGAGGAGUCACAGGACUGUUUGAGUGGAGCACGAUUCGGAUGAUCUAAUCAGGGUUGACAGUUUAACCCAGAGUCGUCCUAAACACAGAGGUC